UACGUAGGGUGCGAGCGUUGUCCGGAAUCACUGGGCGUAAAGCGCACGUAGGCGGAUGUGUCAGUCAGGGGUGAAAUCCCGGAGCUCAACUUCGGAACUGCCUCUGAUACAGCACGUCUUGAGUCCGAGAGAGGUGGGUGGAAUUCCUAGUGUAGAGGUGAAAUUCGUAGAUAUUAGGAAGAACACCAGUGGCGAAGGCGGCCCACUGGCUCGGUACUGACGCUGAGGUGCGAAAGCGUGGGGAGCAAACAGG
rnacentral:rRNA from 1 species